GGCCAUAACUCAGUGGUAGAGCAUCUGCUUAGAAUGCAGAAGGUCCCAGGUUCGAUCCCUGGUAGGGUUG